rnacentral:lncRNA from 1 species
ACAGAUUGAAACAUGUGGAAAUAAAAAUUGUUGCUGGCAAUGUCAUGAUUUUCUCUAACCAGUAUAAACAUACAUAAAUAGUCUUCUGAAAAUAUUAGUAGAAGGGCAGUUGAUUACUUAUAUAGAACAAGUGAUCACAAACUUCCCCACAGAGACAGUAAUGAGGUCUAAAGUGUACACGAGUGGAAAUGUAAAGGCUAUACAUAUCUUGCUCAGAGCAAAGCCAAAAGGGGAAAGAUACUGGAUCGAUUGAUACGAAAUAAAAGGUGGCUGCUGUUGGUUAGGACAUAUAGACUCAAGGUCACCAGAAACUAUCUUAUGUAGUAUUCAGGCACUGCUCUGACUUCAUGCCAAUAUAGCGUAACCUCUGCGUCAAUUCUUCAAUGCUUGCAUUAGCUACUACUUCAGUUCUUUUGAUAAAAUGGUUUUUACACCAGUAGCAGCACCCCUAAGAUUAGCAAGUUUCCAGCAAAAGGAUCACAUGAGAAUCACAUAUCUGCCUCCUAUAUGAAGAGAAACAGAAACCCAACAAGAUGAUAUAAAGAAACAGAGGUAUCAAAACUGUAAUUGCUAUAAGAAAAGAAGCUUGAUUGCACAAGGUUUUUUAUUGCUAUAAGAACAGAAGCUUGGUUACAGUGUGAUAAAAAUAACAAGCACAUAAGAUUGGAACAGCAAAUAGAACACAACAUAAAUAAGCAGUAGAUAUACCAAAUCUUAAUACGUAGCUAAUUUAACUAUAUGGCUAAUUAGUUUGCAUGUACGAAGCAAGUUACUUUUGAUGCAACAGGAAGAGUUGCCUGUAUAUGCUAACAGGAAAAAAAUAAAAUGUAUAUUAGAUUUUGAAGGUAAAAUGAUGUUUUAUUGGGCCUAUGAUCAAUUUGAAUAUAGCUGUGGCAGAAAAGAUAGUUUGAUCAAAUGGCAUAACAUGCAUCGUGUGAAGAAGAAAGCAUUUUUGAGAGCCACAGAGAAGGAUGCUUUGGUUGUCAAAGAAGACAAGGUAAAGGAUGAACAAGAGGCGGCACGCCAUAUCUUAUGUUGAACUGGUUGGAUGUAACAGACUAUGAGUCUUUACCUCUUGGCUUUAGCCUGUUCAGCAAGAAUGUUCUUUGGCUCUUCGUAGCUGCAGCUUCAGUUUCCUGACCAACCUGUUUAGUUUGCUGCUAUUAAAUAUCAUUGUACAGGAAGCAUGGUUUGUGCAAAAGAGGAAAGUUAUUUGCAUAUAAAACAUAGGCAUGGACACUUGACACAGCUUAGGUACUCUCUCACUGGUACGCACUAUAGAUAGAACACACUCGUAUAUUUUUCAGCUACUUGGUUCGUUGGUGUUAGAAUUGCUCUUUCUUUUAGAUAAUCAACGUCAGAAUGUCUAGUAGGAACAUCUUUGUAUACAGCCUGAACAAUGGCAUCGAUUUUGUCACCAUUAGUGUGUAUUAAAAGCUCAUCAGGGAUGGUUAUCCAAGAUGGAUCCGACUCCCCCUCACGGGCAACAGCAGGCAACACGAAAUUGAUGAACAACAACAAGAUUCAGACAAACAAGCAGAAGCAUUAAAGCAGUUGACAGGAGCAUUAAAGCAUAUAUUAUUUUAACAUUGUGGAAAUUGCGCAUAAGGCCUGAAGACCAUAGUUAAAAAAGGCGCGCCUAAGUGAGCGCUUAAGCGCGCCUAGGCUCCAGGCGUUGGAAAAACGCAUUGCGCAUAACUACGUUUAAUCUAUGCAUAACUGCGCAUAAGCAUGCGCUUUGGUGAGUAAAGCACAAGGCAGUGGCAAAAUGCACAAUUAACGCCUAACGCUUUUUUGAACUAUGCUGAAGACUGAAUCAAUUCAGCAUUAUUGGUCAACUCCUACCGUUGGUAUAUUUUAAAAAAUUUCAAUACAUCUGGUCUCGGCAGCUUAUAUACCAGUUAAAAAGCAUGAUCCAUUAUGGUCUUAGUAGUAAGCAACUCGGAUAGAAGCAUAGGCUAAUGUGAGGCAGUUACACAUACCGCAAAAGCAUCCUAAAGACGGAUGUUUUUCACGCAAGCUAUAUUAGUAGAGAAACUAUUGCUCAGCUUUGUAAAUCGUAACCAUAAAAAGGAAAAAGAAGCCUAUGAAAAAUUGCAUAGCAGCACAUAUUAACAGAAGGAAAAUCAGACUAAAAUAUAAAAUCCUAUAACUUAGUCCUAGAAUCCUUUCGUCAUUUGGGGGGAUGUAUAGCAUGGAACUGUAGUCUCGAGAGCCUGAUCAGUAUGAAAUCUUUCAACUAUUUUGUUACCCGUGUCAAUAUCCCUCAGUUCCAGCGGCAGCAAUCAAGAGUCAAGAAUAAAUCAAAUUGGUAAUUAAACAAAUGACAAAUUUAAGCUCCAGUUAAGUCAAGCAUAUAAAAAAAUGCCCCUGAACUUAAUAUUGGUCAUUUGGGGGGAUGUAUAGCAUGGAAUUGCAGAUAUGCCAAUGGGGAGUUGUAAUUCAGAGCAUCUAUGAAUAAAGAGUGUGCAGUAAGAAAUGAAAGCACUAUGUAUACUCAGGGUCGCCGGAGACAUGCAUUGAAGGAAAUAUGUGCAUUAUACCACCAUAUUUCUUGGCUGACUCAACCAAGUCACAUACUUUCUCCUGCUACCGACGUCUGUGUUCCUACAAGGGGAAGAAAAACGUUCAACUAUUACCACUCCACUUUCAGUAUAUAUACGGUGCCAACAGCUUGGCAUAGAACCUAAUGUUUUUCUGUGAGUUCAUGGAUCGGCCAUUGGGAGAAUAUUACAAGGUGGAGGCAGAAGGAGAAUAAUCAAAUAGCAAGACUGUACAAGAAAAUAAGCUGCAACUUGCAACUCAUCAAAUUUUAUUUAAAUUUACAGGUCAUAUUAGAUGCAUAGGAAGCACAGGUAAAUACAGAUGUUCAGCUUCAAGCCACUCAUCACAUAUAGGGGACCUCCCUUGCUAUGCCCAGACCAACAAAAAAUGAACUGUCAAUACGACUGGACUGACGAAAUGAACUAUUGAAAGGGAAACCUACUAUUUUUUUGCAGAAAAUUUUCAAUUUGACAAUGCAAAAAGUAGUAAACACCACAAGAUGUGAGAUUUUUUCCCGUUCCUCAAUCAAUAGCAUCUUCAACAUCGAGAGUAACGAUCAACAACCAGCUCAUGUUGCAAAUAUAUUUCAAUUGAACAAAGCAGGCUACAUCCAGCAAUAACUUGACCUAAGUUUCUACUCUUGACCUUUUAUAGUGCUCGUUUAUGCCAUGAACAAUAAGGAGUGGAAAUUAAUAUAUGCCGAACCAAUAUUUCGGAAUUUGUAAAGGCCAAGUAAUUCAACAACCUAAUGUUUCCUGGUGAGACACACCAUUCAUCCAUAGCAGGUUAGGCAAGCAAGCUUAGUCUAACCUACUGCAAUGGCUGCUGCUGUACCACGAGUGUCGGG